rnacentral:rRNA from 1 species
UACGGAGGAUCCGAGCGUUAUCCGGAUUUAUUGGGUUUAAAGGGAGCGUAGGCGGGUUGUUAAGUCAGUUGUGAAAGUUUGCGGCUCAACCGUAAAAUUGCAGUUGAUACUGGCAUCCUUGAGUACAGUAGAGGUAGGUGGAAUUCGUGGUGUAGCGGUGAAAUGCUUAGAUAUCGCGAAGAACUCCGAUUGCGAAGGCAGCCUGCUGGACUGUAACUGACGCUGAUGCUCGAAAGUGUGGGUAUCAAACAGG